rnacentral:tRNA from 1 species
AGUGUAGCUCAGUAGUAGAGCACUUGCUUGGCAUGUAUGAAGCCCCGGGUUCAAUUCUUAGCACU